rnacentral:tRNA from 1 species
GCUCUCGUAGUUCAAUGGAUAGAAUAUAGGAUUCCGGUUCCUACGAUGUGGGUUCGAUUCCCGCCGAGAGUA